rnacentral:rRNA from 1 species
GAUGAACGCUGGCGGCGUGCCUAAUACAUGCAAGUCGAGCGAACAGACGAGGAGCUUGCUCCUCUGACGUUAGCGGCGGACGGGUGAGUAACACGUGGAUAACCUACCUAUAAGACUGGGAUAACUUCGGGAAACCGGAGCUAAUACCGGAUAAUAUAUUGAACCGCAUGGUUCAAUAGUGAAAGACGGUUUUGCUGUCACUUAUAGAUGGAUCCGCGCCGCAUUAGCUAGUUGGUAAGGUAACGGCUUACCAAGGCAACGAUGCAUAGCCGACCUGAGAGGGUGAUCGGCCACACUGGAACUGAGACACGGUCCAGACUCCUACGGGAGGCAGCAGUAGGGAAUCUUCCGCAAUGGGCGAAAGCCUGACGGAGCAACGCCGCGUGAGUGAUGAAGGUCUUCGGAUCGUAAAACUCUGUUAUUAGGGAAGAACAAAUGUGUAAGUAACGAUGCACGUCUGGACGGUACCUAAUCAGAAAGCCACGGCUAACUACGU